UACAGAGGUCUCAAGCGUUGUUCGGAUUCAUUGGGCGUAAAGGGUGCGUAGGUGGCGCGAUAAGUCGGGUGUGAAAUCUCGGAGCUUAACUCCGAAAUUGCAUUCGAUACUGCCGUGCUCGAGGACUGGAGAGGAGACUGGAAUUCAUGGUGUAGCAGUGAAAUGCGUAGAGAUCAUGAGGAAGACCAGUGGCGAAGGCGGGUCUCUGGACAGUUCCUGACGCUGAGGCACGAAGGCCAGGGGAGCAAACAGG
rnacentral:rRNA from 1 species